GUUCCCUGCCCGCUGCUGCCGGAGACCACUCCGUCCCUCUGCCGUUGGCCACCUCCCCAACUUGCAGCUGCUCGGACUUGGAGGAGGAACGCAUUGAGGACCUUGCUUUGUUAGGUCCAGCAUCGUCCACUAACUCCAUGAAACUAAGAUCCUGUUGAAAGUUCAAAUUGAAAAAAGCUUUGUACCAUGGGUGCUGAGAAGCAAGAGACCAAUGGUGGUACAAGACAGUGUUGCUGCUGCUGCCUCUGUGUUGGUCGAAACACGUGGCCAGCUCGGUCAGCGGCGUCGGCGGGAUGAGGACAUCUACAAUGUGAAGUGCUGCUGCUAGCCGCUGGAUCUGGCAUGGACAAGAAAGAAGAAAACAUUGUUGGAAGCUGUGCGAGUUGAAUGUAUCUCUGCACUAGAGCUUCCUAGCAGUUUAGUUAACGCAGCCGCAAGAGUAGGAGGCACCGGUGUCCUCAGCGACACGCCGUUAGUUGAAGUGGUAUCCACAACUAUGACAAUGGCCUUCUCGUAGAACGCCUCGCUCCUCUUUUUUUUAGUUCUACACUUUCAGCAUAUUCCAUGCGUUUGAUGCAAAAUAUUACUGUAAAUAAAUAUCAUGCAAUUUCCUUGACUCUGGAAUGUUGUUUUCUGACUUCUUUUUUUGCAUCUUUUGCAGAUUGCUCCAACGGCAUCUCUCCCUCAAUCCCCUUUCUCCACUCAACUAGCUUACACCGCUGCAGCCUCUUGGUGCUGCUCCCCGCUGCUCGUCCCACCUUGCCGCUCAGCGGCAGGCCACCACACCACACCCACCCUACUCCCUUGCCGCCAGACACCCCCACCCACCCAAUCCCCUCCGGCCGCAGGUUCCCGCGUGUCCGCCAUGCCCAAGACGUCGGCGUCAAGAACCUCCACCUAGUGCUGGUCCUCGCCAUCCGGAGCGCCUGAGCUGGGCGCCCCUGUCACGCCCGCUAUGGUUCCUUCUGUUGACCUUGGCUGCCGGCGUCGGCCACAUCCCAAACUUCCAGCUGCCAGUUUGACAACUAAACAGAUCAACCAUGGGCAAGGAGAAGACGCACAUUAACAUCAUGGUCAUUUGCCAUGUUGACUCUAGCAAGUCGACCACCAUAGGCCAUCUGGUUUGAGAAGGAAGCCACUGAGACCCGCCCUCUUUACACGUUCACUCUUGGAGUGCAGCAGCAGCUGCAAAGUUUCUUACCACAUAACCUUGUAUAAGAAGAGGACCAAGAAUGGAUGCAUACAAUAGUGGAAAAGAAAGUGACCCUGAAUUCUACCGCGAGGGUUCCAAGUUUUCAAUAUGGUAGAGGAACAGGAGGAGUAUGUCCGUGAUGUGGCCUGGAGGGUGGCUUGGCUACCGGAUCAGGCCGGUCAUGGUUUUUUUAAAGUUGUGCUUGGUCUUUGAUGACCUGAGAUGCUUCUCUGGUGUGAGUGUGCCUGACAAGAUUACUAUUGUCAGAGUCAUAUAUCCACUUUGUGCAAAGCUGAUUCAUUGCUAGUGCUAUCCAUUGCUGCUAGAUCCGGCUUUGUUAGAUCCAUCAUCAUCAACUAACUCCAUGAAAUUUUGUUGUAGGAUCCUGUUGAAAGUUCAAACUGAACAAAGCUUUGCACUAUGGGUGCUGAGAAGCAAGAGACCAAUGGUGGUACAAGACAGUGCUGUUGUUGGCGCCGUGUUGGUCGAAACACGCGGCCAGCUCGGCCAUCAACACGCGUCAGGAUGAGGACAUCGAGAAUCUGAAGUGCAGCUGCAAGCCGCUCGAGUUGGCCUGGACAAGAAAGAAGACAUCAUUGUUCAACUUCCUAGCAGUUUUGUUAACGCAGCCGAUAGAGCAACAUGAAUCAAUGUCCUCAACGACAAGCCGGUGGUUGAAGUGGUAUCCACCACUAUGGCGACAGCCUUUCGUAGAUUGGUCUCACCACAUCUCUCCUUCAAUCCCUUUUCUCCACUCAAUGUGCUGACACCGCUGCAACCGCUCAGUGCUUCUCCCCACUCAGCGGCCGCCCGCCCCACCACACCCACCCGACUCCCUCACCGGUACACACCACCACCCACCCAAUCACCUCCGGCCCUGCUUCCUGCGCGUCUGCCAUGCCCAAGACGUCAGUGUCAAGAACUUCCAUCUGGUGCUUGUCCUCGCCAUCCGGAGCGCCUGGAGCUUGGCGCCCCCGUCAUGUCCGCCAUGGUUCCUCCUGUUGACUUGGGCUGCUGGCACCCCUGUCAUGUCCGCCAUGGUGCCUGCUGUUGACUUGGGCUGCUGGCGCCCCUUCGCCCCUCCCAGCCCCGAUGCACCAAUCACGGGCAACAACGCAAGCAGCAACUGAGAUUGGCACUGGAGGUGGAGGACUCCUCCACGGCGUCUGCGUCCUGCCUUUGUGGAGCUCGCUGCAAAGAUGCAAGGGGGAGGAGAUGGUCCUCGCCUUCAUGGAGUCGCAGCUGUUGUCAGCGACAUUCUGGAAAACCUCCCUGAGCUGUGGCCGCCAGCAACAUCACCGACCUGCUGCUGCCGGAGACCACUCCAUCCCGCCGCUGUCAGCCACGUCCCAAACUUGCAGCUGCCAGAAUCCUGUUGAAAGUUCAGACUGAACACUUUGCACCCUGGCUGUUGAGAAGCAAGAGACCAAUGGCGGUACAAGAUGGUGCUGCUACCGUGUUGGUCGACACACACGGCCAGCUCAGCCAUAAACAGCAGCAUUGGCGGGAUGAGGACAUCGAGAAUGUGAAGUGAAGCUGCAAGCUGUUGUAGCUGGCAUGGACAAGAAAGAAGACAAGAUUGUUGGUAGCUGUGUGAGUUUAGUGUAUUGCUGCACUACAGCUUCCUAUCAGUUUAGUUAACCCAGCCGAAAGAGUAGCAGGCAGCGGUGUGCUCGGCGACACACAGGUAGUUGAAAUGGUAUCCACCACUAUGACGACGGCCAUCUCGUAGAUCGCUCCCACCACAUAUCUCCCUCAAACCCCUGUCUCCACUCAAUUUGCUGACACUGCCACAGCCGCUUGGUGCUGCUCACCUCACCUCGCCACUCAGCGGCCGACCACCCCACCACACCCACCCAACUCCCUCACCGUCAGACACCCCCACCGACCCAAUCCCCUCCGCCCGCCAUGCCCAAGACGUUGGCGUCAAGAACGUUCACCUGGUGUUGGUCCUCGCCAUCCAGAGCACCUUGAGCUGGGCGCUCCCAUCACGCCCGCCAUGGUGCCUCCUGUUGACCUGGGCUGCCGACGCCCCUCUGCCUCCCUCCAUGCCCCGACAUACCAGUCACGGUCAACGACACAAGAGGCAGCUCAGACCGGAGGUAGAGGUGGAGGACCUGCCGUCCAUGUCCUGCCUCUGUGGAGCUCGCUGCAGAUAUGCAACAGGGGGGAGAUGUUCCUCGCCUUCAUGGAGUUGCAGCCGCCAUCGGCAACGUUCUGGGAAACCUCCAUGAGCUCCGGCCGCCAGUGAUGUCCCCAACCUGCUGCUGCCCGAGACCACUCUGUCCUGCUGCCGUCGGCCACAUCCCAAACUUGCAUCUGCCAGGCCACCUCCAGAUAGAAGAAACACUCAUAUACUUCCAACCUUGUAAUUUUGGCUCAAUCUGUGAGAUGAGAUGGAUCAAAGAGAGCACAUGAACUGAGCACUAAGCAAUGGAUCCGUCUACAUUUGACUUUUGGAAUGGACGGCGGCAAUUCCAGUUUUUGUUAUGUUGUUGUGAUCAGCUGGGCAGCAGUGGCAGCGAGGGAGAUAACCAGGGGCCGAGGGUUAGCAUGGAGAUCAUGCAUAUGCGGCUGGCAGCAACACUUGCAUUUGUGUGUGUAAAACUUAAGAGACCAGAUUUUUUUCACUUGGUAAAUAUGUUUUAGCUAAAUGUAAAUUGGAGCUCAUAGAAUUCUUUCCCUUGCAUUCCAUGGAAACAAUGAUGGUGGUUUGAGAAAUAUAUUCUCGGUUUUCUUAGCCAGGUUUGAUAGAGCAAUUUGUAGGAGCAGCAUUAUUGUAAUAUUAGCUAGUAUGAACCACCGUAUCUUCUUUUAUAUGUAAUAAUGGUUUGAGUC